GACAGAGGGUGCAAACGUUGUUCGGAAUUACUGGGCGUAAAGCGAGUGUAGGCGGUCUCGUAAGUCGGGUGUGAAAGCCCUGGGCUCAACCUGGGAAUGGCAGUGGAUACUGGAAGGCUGGAGUACGGUAGAGGAGGGUGGAAUUCCCGGUGUAGCGGUGAAAUGCGUAGAGAUCGGGAGGAACAUCAGUGGCGAAGGCGGCCCUCUGGACCAGUACUGACGCUGAGGCACGAAAGCGUGGGGAGCAAACAGG
rnacentral:rRNA from 1 species